rnacentral:rRNA from 1 species
GACGAACGCUGGCGGCGUGGAUUAGGCAUGCAAGUCGAACGGUAGGAUACCUUCGGGUAUCUGAGAGUGGCGAACGGGUGAGUAACACGUAGGUGAUCUACCCUCAAGAUUGGGACAACCAGGGAAACUUGGGCUAAUACCGGAUGAAAGCAGCAGUGAUGUUGUUUGAAAGGUGGCGUAAGCUGCCGUUUGGGGAUGAGCCUGCGCUCUAUUAGUUAGUUGGCGGGGUAAAGGCCCACCAAGGCGAUGAUAGAUAGGCGGCCUUAACGGGUGGUCGCCCACACUGGGAUUGAGAUACGGCCCAGACUCCUACGGGAGGCAGCAGUCGAGAAUAGUCUACAAUGGCCGAAAGGCUGAUAGUGCGACGCCGCGUGAACGAAGAAGCCCUUCGGGGUGUAAAGUUCUUUUAUAUGUGAGCAGUGCUUUCUAUGUGAACAGCAUGGGGAGAGAGAUAUUAGCAUAUGAAUAAGCAACGGCUAACUCCGUG